rnacentral:hammerhead_ribozyme from 1 species
GCACUGCUGAAGAGUCCCAUACUAGGACGAACCGUCCGUCCAGUGC